rnacentral:rRNA from 1 species
ACUCCUACGGGAGGCAGCAGUGGGGAAUAUUGCACAAUGGGCGCAAGCCUGAUGCAGCCAUGCCGCGUGUAUGAAGAAGGCCUUCGGGUUGUAAAGUACUUUCAGCAGUGAGGAAGGUGAUGCGUUAAUAGCGUAUUCAUUUGACGUUAGCUGCAGAAGAAGCACCGGCUAACUCCGUGCCAGCAGCCGCGGUAAUACGGAGGGUGCGAGCGUUAAUCGGAAUUACUGGGCGUAAAGCGCAUGCAGGUGGUUUGCUAAGUCAGAUGUGAAAGCCCGGGGCUCAACCUCGGAAUAGCAUUUGAAACUGGCAGACUAGAGUACUNUAGAGGGGGGUAGAAUUUCAGGUGUAGCGGUGAAAUGCGUAGAGAUCUGAAGGAAUACCGGUGGCGAAGGCGGCCCCCUGGACAGAUACUGACACUCAGAUGCGAAAGCGUGGGGAGCAAACAGGAUUAGAUACCCUGGUAGCUACG